ACCACACACACAUUUUCUACUUCAUAUGUUUUAAAAAUUAACUUGAUUACUUAUAUAAUACGGAGUAUCGGUAAACCCAUAUUUUACCCACAUGGAAUAUGAGUGGGUUGAAACCUAACUCGCUUUUGGUAAACCCAUUUCCAACCUGUCCAAAUCCAACCAAACCCACCCAUUGCCACCACUAGCCACAAUACCUCCGCCUUUGAUGAAAAGGUACGAUAAAAAUGGUUCUUUAUGUUUGACGCUAGGUUCAAAGUAGUCCCUUGAGUUUGUACUGAACAAUUUUGAUCCUUUAAUUGUCUGAAGUUAACACUUUUAGUAGGUUUGACCAUGAAUUUCAAAUAUUUAUAAGUUUCUUUGGAAUUUAUGAAUUCGGAGUUGAAGAUAGAGUGUCGUUUGAUUAUAUUCUGUUGCAAAGGAGAAAAGCGAGCACUUUGUUUGGAAUUAUGAAGGUGGAGUUGGAGAACAGGUUAUAAGCUAUUUUUCAUAUUUAGAAUUCAACUUGAAGUUGGAUUUAAAAUUUUCAUGACCCCACUGAUUUUGAAAUAAAGUGAAAAAUUAUUUCGGAAAAAAAGUGAAUAAUUCCCAUGGCCAAACAGGUCCUAAGUUUCCGUCAAAUAUUUACGGAACUCUAGCACUGAGAAACAUGCUAGGAUCGUCGUUUGGCACUGUCUUUAUAAAUAUGCCCGUCACGAUACCACUGCCCUCGAUGAAAAGGAACAUUUUGAGAAUAUUUAGUAGACAAAUUGAAAUCAUGAUUUGAAAUUAUUUAUUUAGGUGAAGGUUAAUUUGAAGUUGCAAUUGUGUUUAGUCAUAAGUUUUGCAAACAAAACUUGAAAUCAAAUUUUAAUUUUCCUCAUAACCAUGAAAACUCAUAAUUUGUAAAAGUAUUAAAACUUUCCCAACUCCUAUGCAAUAUGAAAAAAACGCUUAAAUUAACGAUUAACAAGGGAUUCCUUGCAGUAGCACCAACUAAUUUUUGGGCGUGUUUGGUGUAAGGGGAAAGUGGCUGGGCAAUGUAGGAGUUGGGUAAUUACUUUUUGUACUACAGAUAGGUCCUUUUUUUUGCAAAAUCUAUCAUUAUGGGCAAAUUUUAAAAUUUUAUUAAGUUUGAAGUCACAAAUUUGAAGUUGAUAUUCUACCUUUAAGGCGAAUUUGGGAUUUGAAAUAAGAAUUUCAAGUUGAAGUUGAAGUUUUAUUCAAAAUGUGAUGAACAGACACAGAUGUGGUAUCAAAGCUUGAAAUUAUGAUCUGAAAUCACAUGUCCAAAUGGCACCUUAUUCAGCACCAUGUACAAUAAAACCUCUCUAUAACGGCGCCGAUAAUUUUUGACUGCUAUAGAGAACAUAUAUCAUAACCUAAUAUGAAAAAAUUUAUUCCAAACAAACUUGACCGUUAUAGUGAAAUAUUGUUAUAGAGGAUGAUUGUUAUAGAGAGAUUUGACUGUAUUUGUACUUGAAAACAAAUUAACCUUACCAGUUAUUUGAACCAAAUAAAAACAAUUAAGCUUAAGGAACACUAAUUAGAGUGAGGAGAAGUGAUAUAAGUUUAUAUAUAAGAUGCUGAUUUGGGGAAAAUGCUUUGUGGGGUUAGUUUACUUUUGUAUUUGUCUAUGGCAAGAUCAGUUUCAACUUUGUCGACCAAUUAUUAGUUUACCCUGAAUUGAUUAUGGUGAUUCCUUGGGAAUAGUGAAUUGAGGGACUUAAAAAAUUUAGCUAUAGGUGGAGGAAUUUGUGAUAAUGGUAGGACAGGAGGAGCAGGUGGAGUUCCAUGGAGGAGCAAUGAAGGCGCCAAAGGUUCUUGCUGACAUUGUGGAGUCAGUGGCAGCCGCUGUAUAUGUCGAUUGUGGCUUUGAUCUGAAGGCUCUCUGGGUGGGUGCAUAGGCGAUGAGAUGCAUGCUGUAGCGCCUUGAUGCCGACACGGAAAUGCCUCCUAUGAAGUGCCUAAGAUGCACGAGAAGAGGGAAUUAUUCCAGGACUUAGUCCCACUACUAUGAAACUCAUUUGGUACUACCGCUGCGCCUCUUACAGGUAAUCUUUGAAGUGUUUCAUUCUAAUUCUUCAAAUUUUAUCCCAUCUGCCAGAUGCUCAUGCAUACUUCCAUCUAUUUGGGGUUUUUAUCUAUCAAGAGGGAGAAAGGAACAGUGUGCUUGUGGGCUCACAUUAAUCCAGUUGACUGUUGCAUAUUGUUCAAAUCCUAUGUAUUGUAGCUUUUGCAUUUCUUGUUAAGACCAAAUUUCUUUCGAUUUCUAUUAUCACUUGGAACAUGUUGCGUAUCUUUGAUUACUUUCAACUGCCAAAUAUUUUCAUACAUGUGCUUUUGGAAUUGUCAUCACUAUAAUUCUUAUGCAGAACAAAUGUCAUAACACCUAACAUAGAAUCAAUUUGAUGUCAGUUUUGUCUAGAUAUCUUUAUGGGAAAAUUUCUAUUUUGUAGUUCAAACAUCAAAUCAAAAACAUUGUCAUUCUGUACUUCGGUUGAUCUUUUAACCGGAGAUCAAGCAAUAGACACCUUUCUUUCUUGCCACUCCCAACAUCCAGAAUGAUACAUAAAAGAAGAAGACAACUUAUAUGCUUGUGGCCUCAUGUCCAUUGGAGCAUUUACUUAAACAAAUGGGUUUUUAUUUAGGGAAGAAAUCCUACAUUUCUUGUGUUAAACUUAUAAUUGAGGAAAAAUAGCCGCUACUGGUGACCUUAACUUGGGUAAUUUCUUCCUACACCGGAGGAGUGAAGAAGACCUGUCGCUUCGCUAUGGUAGCCCCAGGGAGAUCUGUAAGUACUAGAAUAACACUGAGCUUCUGAUCUGGAAGCUUCCCACACACAGGCUGGUCAGAAAAGUAGUGCAGGGCUUCAAGGGUGAUGUUAGAUCCGAGAGCACUUCUGUGGUGGCACACGAGGCUGCAGAGAUAUACUUGGCGGGUCACCAACUUGUUUGCCAUUAAUGCCAGAAGGGUGCUUUAGAGGUGAAAUGGCUUAAUCUUGGUCUCUGUAUUCUUAGUAAGUGUAGUUUUUUAAAACUGAUAUUUAGUGGGGUUUAGUUGCUUUUGCUUGAAUUGCUUAGAAAUGAAAAUCAAAUUCAUCUAAUAUAAAAUUUGGAUAAAGUCUUAGUUCUCAUCUAUCUGCUUUUGUCUCUGUGCUCUCGGAGGAUAAGCAAACUCUACAUUGAAGCCUUGAAGGCUUGAAGCAAGGCUCAAUUUCGUUAUCUUUAUCUUUUUCCUGCAAAGUGAAAAUUGGAUAUGAACAUGAAAGUAUUGGUAACAUGGACUAGACUCGUUUACUAAUGGUGGUUUUAAGUUAUUAUGAUUAAUUUAUGUAUCAACGUCUGCCAAAUCAACAACCAACAAAGAAUCGAUUGCACUUCUCUCGGCUGAGUUGAACACUCGUGAUUUCAGUGAAGUAGAUUAAAUAAGGCAUAUACACAGCUGUAUAAACUGGAACUUCUCAGGUGGAGCAGUGGCGCAAAGGAACCUCCUCUGUUGCAAUUUCUUAUCUUUUAGUUUCAACUACGUGCUGGUCAGGUUUUGUAAUUUCUCCUCAAUUUAGGGAUCCCAGAUUGGAGAAAGUUAGGAUUGUCGGGAUUUAAUGAGGUUAGUCAUGCGGGUAUAUGAAGCUGCAGAUUGUUAAGUUCCUUAAUCCGUCAGGUUUGAGACGCAAAGUGCUGAACUCUUACAUACUUGGAGGAUUAUACUUGUGAAAGGUGAUGCAUGUUGGUUGAAUUGUGACACUCAAUGGACUAUUUUGGUGAAAGAUCAUGAUUUCUACUUUCUCUUGAUUUCACAAAAUACUUCAACAAAAAAUUCUACUCUACGAUGCAUGUUUCAACAACUUUAGUAUGAUGAUAAAGUAGGACUUCUGAUUUGGGUGUGUUUUUACUUUCUUCUAAUCUGAUGAAAUGUUCUAAACUGCAGCUCAUAUUUCUUUGUACUUGUACCCUUUUCUAAAUACAACAAGCAAAUCAAGACCUUUUGAUUAUCUGAGGCUUACCAGCUUAGGUUUCAUUGGUGCCCUUGUGAAGGUAGACGAUACGGAAGCUAUCAGUUUUCUACUACCAACAGAAAUAAUUCCCCCGUGCCUGCGCACAAUGGAGAUGGGCAGUGAACUGUCAAAAACGGUUGAGUGCUUCCUCAAAUCCCUUCUUUUUUCUUCUUGUUGUAAGUGAAUUUUAAGUUGGUCAUAGGAUCAUAAUAUUCAUCAUAUUCUUCAGAUACCAAAAGAAAAGACAACUUAUGCAGCACAAUUAUAAAUUCUUCGUGAUAGAUACCUUUUUUAUUCUACGUCCUGUUUGAUUAUUUCCAGUUACUCCUCACUUAGUGUGUUAAGAGUCAUGCAGACAGGUUGCAGCUUUCAUUGUGCCAAAAAUACUUCUAGAUGACGUGGGUUUGGAUUACAAAUGUGCCACAGCAGAAAGGUUUUUUGCAGUAGGCCGAGUUUUGGGGAAUAUUGUUGGUGCACUUGCUGAACAGCCUUCAUCUUGGUUACUGAAGCACAUAAUUAGGUGCUAUCUUCGAUUGUCAGAUAAUCCAAGGGCAUAUGAUGCACUAAGAAGUGGUCUCCUGGAUAUGCUUACACCUUCAGUAGUUGUCUUCGUAUAUGUACAUUUUCAAUAGAAGUGCUCCAUCUUUUUCUCUUAGCUUGUAGUUUUCUCCCAAUCAAGAAUAUGAAGCAUUCCUCCUGGUUAUUAUAGACCCUUGUUUUUUCUAUCCAGGAUGGGUUCUUUUUCCUUAUGCUCAACAGGAGGACCCUACAACGAGGAGGUGGCUACAGGCAGGAUGAUUUGAUCAUAUGUUGAUGAACUAAGUUGAGACGAUCAUUAAAUCUUGAUUGUGUUGUCCCGGCAGUCUUAGGUGCUUGCUAAGAAUGCAUCUCUUUCAUUGUGAGUCCUCUACAAGCAGUUUGGUGAAGGGGUUUUAAGGUGCUUGCUAAGAAUAUAUCACUUUUGAUCCGAUUGCUAGAAUCUGUUUUGGACAUUUAUAGUGUGAUUUGAGGAUGCCCAACUUGCAAACUUUUUUCGAGCAAGAUGUAUAUAAUUUAUUCACCAGUCUGCAGGUUCAUAUAAUUCUUUGUGGUGGACACAUUGUAGCACAGUGAUUCAAACUGUGCUGCCGGCAUUUUCCUAUAAUUUGUCAACAAUUGAAUCUCUUUUAAUUUUAA